CUGGCGACGAGUGGCGGACGGGUGAGUAAUACUUAGGAAUCUGCCCGGUAGUGGGGGACGAACUCGGGGAAACUCGAGCUAAUACCGCAUACGCCCUAAGGGGGAAAGCGGGGGAUCUUCGGACCUCGCGCUAUUGGAUGAGCCUAAGUCGGAUUAGCUUGUAGGUAGGGUAACGGCCUACCUAGGCGACGAUCCGUAGCUGGUCUGAGAGGACGAUCAGCCACACUGGGACUGAGACACGGCCCAG
rnacentral:rRNA from 1 species